GGGUUGUGAGGUUAAGCGACUAAGCGUACACGGUGGAUGCCCUGGCAGUCAGAGGCGAUGAAGGACGUGCUAAUCUGCGAUAAGCGCCGGUAAGGUGAUAUGAACCGUUAUAACCGGCGAUUUCCGAAUGGGGAAACCCAGUGUGACUCGUCACACUAUCAUUAACUGAAUCCAUAGGUUAAUGAGGCGAACCGGGGGAACUGAAACAUCUAAGUACCCCGAGGAAAAGAAAUCAACCGAGAUUCCCCCAGUAGCGGCGAGCGAACGGGGAGGAGCCCAGAGCCUGAAUCAGCAUGUGUGUUAGUGGAAGCGUCUGGAAAGGCGCGCGAUACAGGGUGACAGCCCCGUACACAAAAGCGCAUGUGCUGUGAGCUCGAUGAGUAGGGCGGGACACGUGGUAUCCUGUCUGAAUAUGGGGGGACCAUCCUCCAAGGCUAAAUACUCCUGACUGACCGAUAGUGAACCAGUACCGUGAGGGAAAGGCGAAAAGAACCCCGGCGAGGGGAGUGAAAAAGAACCUGAAACCGUGUACGUACAAGCAGUGGGAGCCCCACCACUAAGCCAGUGGUGAACUCCACAUACGCAUCCUUUGCUGAGGAUAAGGUUAACGGAGCGAAAGCGACGUUCAACCGCAAAAGAAGCAGAGGGGGCUUAGUGGUGGGGUGACUGCGUACCUUUUGUAUAAUGGGUCAGCGACUUAUAUUCUGUAGCAAGGUUAACCGUAUAGGGGAGCCG
rnacentral:rRNA from 1 species